rnacentral:rRNA from 1 species
UACGUAGGGACCAAGCGUUGUUCGGAUUUACUGGGCGUAAAGGGCGCGUAGGCGGCUCAUGAAGGCUGUGGUGAAAGUCCGGGGCUCAACCUCGGAUCGGCCGUGGCGACUCGUGGGCUGGAGCACUGUAGAGGCGGGUGGAAUUCCGGGUGUAGCGGUGGAAUGCGUAGAGAUCCGGAAGAACACCAGUGGCGAAGGCGGCCCGCUGGGCAGUGGCUGACGCUGAGGCGCGACAGCGUGGGGAGCAAACAGG